UACGAAGGGGGCUAGCGUUGCUCGGAAUUACUGGGCGUAAAGCGCACGUAGGCGGAUUGUUAAGUCGGGGGUGAAAUCCUGGAGCUCAACUCCAGAACUGCCUUCGAUACUGGCGAUCUCGAGUUCGAGAGAGGUGAGUGGAAUUCCGAGUGUAGAGGUGAAAUUCGUAGAUAUUCGGAGGAACACCAGUGGCGAAGGCGGCUCACUGGCUCGAUACUGACGCUGAGGUGCGAAAGCGUGGGGAGCAAACAGG
rnacentral:rRNA from 1 species